rnacentral:rRNA from 1 species
GACGGGUAUCCGGCCUGAGAGGGUGAACGGACACACUGGAACUGAGACACGGUCCAGACUCCUACGGGAGGCAGCAGUAGGGAAUAUUGCUCAAUGGGGGAAACCCUGAAGCAGCAACGCCGCGUGGAGGAUGAAGGUUUUAGGAUUGUAAACUCCUUUUGUUAGGGAAGAUUAUGACGGUAUCUAACGAAUAAGCACCGGCUAACUCCGUGCCAGCAGCCGCGGUAAUACGGAGGGUGCAAGCGUUACUCGGAAUCACUGGGCGUAAAGAGUGCGCAGGCGGGAUAGCAAGUCAGAUGUGAAAUGCUAUGGCUUAACCAUAGAACUGCAUUUGAAACUGUUAUUCUA